UACGGAGGGUGCAAGCGUUAUCCGGAUUUACUGGGUUUAAAGGGUGCGCAGGCGGAUAUGUAAGUCAGUGGUGAAAUCUCCGGGCUUAACCCGGAAACUGCCGUUGAUACUAUAUAUCUUGAAUGCUGUGGAGGUAAGCAGAAUAUGUCAUGUAGCGGUGAAAUGCUUAGAUAUGACAUAGAAUACCUAUUGCGAAGGCAGCUUACUACACAGAUAUUGACGCUCAUGCACGAAAGCGUGGGGAGCAAACAGG
rnacentral:rRNA from 1 species